GGCUGGAAAAGGUGGAGAACUCACACAUGAUGAGACAACAAUUAUUGCUGGAGCCCUUGGGCUUACUGAGAAAACAGCCAGUGAUGCCAUGACUCCCAUAUCUGACACUUUUGCUGUUGAUAUCAAUGCCAAGCUUGACAGGGAGCUGAUGAAUUUAAUUUUGGAGAAAGGGCAUAGAAGAGUGCCAGUCUACUAUGAGCAACCUACAAACAUAAUUGGACUUGUUUUGCAAAUCACAGGCACAUUGUUAGAUCUCCAGUUCUAAUGCGGGAAUUGUGGCUUGAGAUGUGGCAUGAUAACUAUCCUGAUUCAAAAUCAAAAUUUGUUACAAAAGCUAAGCGUGACCUUUGAGGGAAGAUGACUGUUAUUGGGAUUAUGGAAAAGUUCGUUGUGCAUGGCCUGAGCAUUGUGAAUAUAGGUAUUUUUCUUACAUGUUUUUUAAUUAUUUUUUCGAAUAUUGUGGUCAUCAGUUUCCCUUAUUGCAUUAUGUACAGAUACGUUUUAUUUUGUGAAAGGGCUCCUAAAUUUUCUACUUUCAUUUGAAGAAAACUGUGAAGAGUUAUCUUACACAACAUCAAGUCAACAUUCACAAGGACCCAUAAUUAAUAUAUAUAUAUUCAAUGCUAAGAAAUGUUGACAACAGAUGAUGUUGAUAGCGCACUCAGCUUAAGAAAUGUUGAGGGAACAACCAGGAUUCUUCAGUUUUGGCUCAAUCUUCACAAGUAGAAACAAGAACG